rnacentral:rRNA from 1 species
UACGGAGGGUGCAAGCAUUAAUCGGAAUUACUGGGCGUAAAGCGUGCGUAGGCGGUUCGUUAAGUCUGUUGUGAAAGCCCCGGGCUCAACCUGGGAAUGGCAAUGGAUACUGGCGAGCUAGAGUGUGUCAGAGGAUGGUGGAAUUCCCGGUGUAGCGGUGAAAUGCGUAGAGAUCGGGAGGAACAUCAGUGGCGAAGGCGGCCAUCUGGGACAACACUGACGCUGAGGCACGAAAGCGUGGGGAGCAAACAGG